rnacentral:tRNA from 1 species
GGCCUCGUAGCUCAGCUGGUAGAGCGUGCACGUUAAAAGCGUAAGCAACGUGCGUGCGCGGUUUCGAAUCCCUCCGAGGCUA